rnacentral:rRNA from 1 species
CUGGCGGCGUGCUUAACACAUGCAAGUCGAACGAAGCCAAAAGGAAGCUUGCUUCUUGAAGCUUAGUGGCGGACGGGUGAGUAACGCGUGAGAAACCUGCCCUUGAGUGGGGAAUAACACCGAGAAAUCGGUGCUAAUACCGCAUAAUGUCACGAUACCGCAUGAUAUUGUGACCAAAGGAUUUAUUCGCUUAAGGAUGGUCUCGCGUCCGAUUAGCUAGUUGGUGAGGUAACGGCCCACCAAGGCGACGAUCGGUAGCCGAACUGAGAGGUUGAUCGGCCACAUUGGGACUGAGACACGGCCCAGACUCCUACGGGAGGCAGCAGUGGGGAAUAUUGGGCAAUGGGCGAAAGCCCUGACCCAGCAACGCCGCGUGAAGGAUGACGGUCUUCGGAUUGUAAACUUCUUUGAUUGGGGAAGAAUAAAUGACCUACCCAAAGAACAAGUCACGGCUAACUACGUGCCAGCCGCCGC